rnacentral:rRNA from 1 species
CAAUACAUGGGCUGGCGAGUGGCGCACGGGUGCGUAACACGUAUGCAAUUUGCCCAUAACUGGGGGAUAGCCCUCCGAAAGGAGGAUUAAUACCCCAUAACCCAGCGAGGUGGCAUCACCUUUCUGGUAAAUCUCCGGAGGUUAUGGAUGAGCAUGCGUCCGAUUAGCUAGGUGGUGAGGUAACGGCUCACCAAGGCAACGACCGGUAGGGGGUCUGAGAGGAUGAUCCCCCACACGGGUACUGAGACACGGACCCGACUCCUACGGGAGGCAGCAGUAAGGAAUAUUGGACAAUGGAGGCAACUCUGAUCCAGCCAUGCCGCGUGAAGGAUGAAGGCCUUACGGGUUGUAAACUUCUUUUCUCUUAGAAAAAACUACUGGUUUCGUACCGGUACUGAUUGUACAAGAGGAAUAAGCAUCCGCUAACUUCGUGCCAGCAGCCGCGGUAAUACGAAGGAUGCAAGCGUUAUCCGGAUUCACUGGGUUUAAAGGGUGUGCAGGUGGGGUAAUAAGUCAGUGGUGAAAGCCCCCGACUCAAUCGGGGAACUGCCAUAGAUACUGUUAUUCUUGAGUGUGGCUGAGGCGGAUGGAAUAUAACAUGUAGCGGUGAAAUGCUUAGAUAUGUCAUAGAACACCGAUCGCGAAGGCAGUCCGCCUAACCAUUACUGACACUGAAACACGAAAGUG